GUAGACCGUGGAGCUACAGAAGCUUAUUUUAGCGCAUAAUAACAUUGAAUCGUUGAGGGAAGAUCUCAGAAACUUGCCUUUAUUGUCUGUACUUAAUGUUAGACACAAUCCCUCCUGCCGGCUGCCAUAGGCGAGCUUCACAUGCUAAAAUCAUUAGAUGUUUCAUUUAACAUGAUAUCCAGCAUACCUGAAGAAAUUGGAUCGGCAACUGCUUUGGUCAAGUUUAAAUGCUCAAAUAAUCAACUAAAAGAUCUUCCAGGCUCCAUAGGACGUUGUUCAGAUUUGUCAGAGUUCAAAGUGGAGGCCGAAGAGAAGAUCAAGUAGAUAAAAAUCAU